UACAAAAAGUUCACUCGAAGCCCCGAUCUGAUCAAUCUUCUUGAGAGUGCUAGCUCACGCGAAGAUCUUCUUCUUGAUUGAUCUAGAUCCCUUCUUCAAAUCUUUGAAAUCUUUUCAAAAAAUUGAAGAUGGACUUAUAAAAGAGAUGUAAAAGUGAAAGAAAAAUAGAGAAAAAAAUAAUUUUUCUCUAAUUUAUUCUCUCUUCCCAAACCCUUAGG
rnacentral:lncRNA from 1 species